rnacentral:rRNA from 1 species
GACGAACGCUGGCGGCGUGCCUAAUACAUGCAAGUAGAACGCAGUUGCGAACGGGUGAGUAACGCGUAGGUAACUGCCUCAUAGCGGGGGAUAACUAUUGGAACCGAUAGCUAAUACCGCAUACUGUGAGAUGGACCUGCGUUGUAUUAGCUAGUUGGUGAGGUAAAGGCUCACCAAGGCGACGAUACAUAGCCGACCUGAGAGGAUGAUCGGCCACACUGGGACUGAGACACGGCCCAGACUCCUACGGGAGGCAGCAGUGGGGAAUAUUGCAAAAGGGGCGAAAGCCUGAUGCAGCCAUGCCGCGUGUAUGAAGAAGGCCUUCGGGUUGUAAAGGACUUUAAGCGGGGAGGCGUUACCCGCAGAAGAAGCACCGGCUAACUCCGUGCCAGCAGCCGCGGUAAUAC